GCACAUUUAAUUUUAUUACUGCACAAUUUAGGAAGAACAGUUUUAUAUUUAUACUGACUUUAUUACUUUUCUAAUUUCAUUUUACUUGCCAUUAUUUCCCAAGCUGCUUGCUCACUGUAUUAUUACUAUUUUUCAUUUUGUAUAGUUAUACAUUUUUUUUCAUUUAUUUCAAGAAAAGCUGCAGUACUUUGGUAUACUUAAGCGAAAUAUACUUUACAUCCAAGAAUUUUUUUUUUAAAUAUUUUUCUGGAUCCUUGAUAGUAUAUAAUAUGUUGCAAUAAUAUUUUAAAAAAUCUAAACUAUUUUAUUUAUUUGGAGCCCACCACCUAUGAUUAAAUCAUUGCAGAAUUCUAGAAAAAAA